UACAGAGGGGGCAAGCGUUGUUCGGAAUUACUGGGCGUAAAGGGCGCGUAGGCGGCCUGCUAAGUCGAACGUGAAAUCCCUGGGCUCAACCUUUGAAUGUCGAUGGAUACUGCCGGGCUAGAGUCCGGAAGAGGCGAGUGGAAUUCCUGGUGUAGCGGUGGAAUGCGCAGAUAUCAGGAGGAACACCAAUAGCGAAGGCAGCUCGCUGGGACGGUACUGACGCUAAGGCGCGAAAGCGUGGGGAGCGAACAGG
rnacentral:rRNA from 1 species